rnacentral:rRNA from 1 species
GACGGACGCUGGCGGCGUGCUUAACACAUGCAAGUCGAACGGAAAGGCCCUGCUUUUGUGGGGUGCUCGAGUGGCGAACGGGUGAGUAACACGUGAGUAACCUGCCCUUGACUUUGGGAUAACUUCAGGAAACUGGGGCUAAUACCGGAUAGGAGCUCCUGCUGCAUGGUGGGGGUUGGAAAGUUUCGGCGGUUGGGGAUGGACUCGCGGCUUAUCAGCUUGUUGGUGGGGUAGUGGCUUACCAAGGCUUUGACGGGUAGCCGGCCUGAGAGGGUGACCGGCCACAUUGGGACUGAGAUACGGCCCAGACUCCUACGGGAGGCAGCAGUGGGGAACAUUGCACAAUGGGCGGAAGCCUGAUGCAGCAACGCCGCGUGCGGGAUGACGGCCUUCGGGUUGUAAACCGCUUUCGCCUGUGACGAAGCGUGAGUGACGGUAAUGGGUAAAGAAGCACCGGCUAACUACGUG